GACGAACGCUGGCGGCGUGCUUAACACAUGCAAGUCGAACGGAAAGGCCCUGCUUUUGUGGGGUGCUCGAGUGGCGAACGGGUGAGUAACACGUGAGUAACCUGCCCUUGACUUUGGGAUAACUUCAGGAAACUGGGGCUAAUACCGGAUAGGAGCUCCUGCUGCAUGGUGGGGGUUGGAAAGUUUCGGCGGCUGGGGAUGGACUCGCGGCUUAUCAGCUUGUUGGUGGGGUAGUGGCUUACCAAGGCUUUGACGGGUAGCCGGCCUGAGAGGGUGACCGGCCACAUUGGGACUGAGAUACGGCCCAGACUCCUACGGGAGGCAGCAGUGGGGAAUAUUGCACAAUGGGCGGAAGCCUGAUGCAGCAACGCCGCGUGCGGGAUGACGGCCUUCGGGUUGUAAACCGCUUUCGCCUGUGACGAAGCGUGAGUGACGGUAAUGGGUAAAGAAGCACCGGCUAACUACGUGCCAGCAGCCGCGGUGAUACGUAGGGUGCGAGCGUUGUCCGGAUUUAUUGGGCGUAAAGGGCUCGUAGGUGGUUGAUCGCGUCGGAAGUGUAAUCUUGGGGCUUAACCCUGAGCGUGCUUUCGAUACGGGUUGACUUGAGGAAGGUAGGGGGGAAUGGAAUUCCUGGUGGAGCGGUGGAAUGCGCAGAUAUCAGGAGGAACACCAGUGGCGAAGGCGGUUCUCUGGGCCUUUCCUGACGCUGAGGAGCGAAAGCGUGGGGAGCGAACAGGCUUAGAUACCCUGGUAGUCCACGCUGUAAACGGUGGGUACUAGGUGUGGGGUCCAUUCCACGGGUUCCGUGCCGUAGCUAACGCUUUAAGUACCCCGCCUGGGGAGUACGGCCGCAAGGCUAAAACUCAAAGGAAUUGACGGGGCCCCGCACAAGCGGCGGAGCAUGCGGAUUAAUUCGAUGCAACGCGUAGAACCUUACCUGGGUUUGACAUGGAUCGGGAGCGCUCAGAGAUGGGUGUGCCUCUUUUGGGGUCGGUUCACAGGUGGUGCAUGGCUGUCGUCAGCUCGUGUCGUGAGAUGUUGGGUUAAGUCCCGCAACGAGCGCAACCCUUGUUCACUGUUGCCAGCACGUUAUGGUGGGGACUCAGUGGAGACCGCCGGGGUCAACUCGGAGGAAGGUGGGGAUGACGUCAAGUCAUCAUGCCCCUUAUGUCCAGGGCUUCACGCAUGCUACAAUGGCUGGUACAGAGAGUGGCGAGCCUGUGAGGGUGAGCGAAUCUCGGAAAGCCGGUCUCAGUUCGGAUUGGGGUCUGCAACUCGACCUCAUGAAGUCGGAGUCGCUAGUAAUCGCAGAUCAGCAACGCUGCGGUGAAUACGUUCCCGGGGCU
rnacentral:rRNA from 1 species